AUACGGAGGGUCCAAGCGUUAUCCGGAAUCAUUGGGUUUAAAGGGUCCGUAGGCGGGCAAUUAAGUCAGAGGUGAAAUCCCACAGCUCAACUGUGGAACUGCCUUUGAUACUGGUUGUCUUGAAUUAUAGUGAAGUAGAUAGAAUAUGUAGUGUAGCGGUGAAAUGCAUAGAUAUUACAUAGAAUACCGAUUGCGAAGGCAGUCUACUAACUAUAUAUUGACGCUGAUGGACGAAAGCGUGGGGAGCGAACAGGAUUAGAAACCCUAGUAGUCC
rnacentral:rRNA from 1 species